CUGUAACUCCAUUUUACAGAUGAGAAAACGGAGGCUCAGGGAAGCCAAGCAACUUGCCCAAGGUCACAGAGCUGAAAUGGCAGAGCAGGGUGCCAACGCAGCUCUCUCUGACUCCUUCUGCACCCCCAGCCUUCCUAUCGGGCAUCGCGCGGACUUGGGUCAACCCCUGCCCUGAGUCUUCCUGACCGCGAAGCCCCUGUGGGACCUGUCAGGUGCCUGGGGCUUUGCAGGCGGGGAAUGAGCCUGACGUCGUCCCAUCGACAGCCAUCGACCUGGGGGUGACGUGACCUGGUUUACUUUCUUACAAGGUCUUCCUGGCUGCGUGUGGAGAAGGGCUCGUGCGGGGGCAGGCGAGCUGGUCAGGACUCUCCUUGGGGAACCCAGACUCUGCCUCGGGCCCUGCUGACUUCACUUAAUUGCCUUAGCUGCCGGCAGAAUUCCAACCUGGACAGGCUCCCUUCUCCAGGACCCGCCAGGCUCCUCCUCCGUUAAGACCCAGCUCAGAACUCUUUCCUCCAGGAGGCCCUUGGGGGCCAGCGUCUGAAUGUCCAGCCUGCCUCUGCUCCCUUCCCUCCCAGAGCCCAUGCGGUUCUCUUCGCUCCCUACCCAGCAUCCUGUGGGAAGCAGCCCUGGACCCCAGGAAGGUCUACAGAGAGCAGCUCUCUUCCUGGAAGAUGCAGAUUUCACCCUCUUUUUCCACUUUCCGUGACCUCUAAGACCCAAAGAAAAUUAAUUAUCCCAUGCUGGAAUUACUGGUCUCUCUUCGGUGAGACUGGGAGCCUUUCCCCAGUCUGAGGUACAUGAGACGUGUUUGAUCAAGAAAUAUUUCCUGCCCCCUGGAAAAUGACAUUCUGAUAGGGGAAAAUAGAGCGUAUAAAUAAUAGGGGGAAAUUCCAAGAUGAGACUGACUGCAUUAAUUACCAUUUGUCGAUCCUUUCUCUGCCUUUGGGUGUUUGUUCUGCUUCUUCCAAGUCUCAGAGGACAAGAAUCAUCAUGUGUAUUUCACUUUCACCCACCUACCACCUGGUGCCCAGGUUGUGUCUGAAGGUGUGCACUAGGUGUGGGACAACUUGCUCUGGGCCAGAAGAGGGUUACUGACCUGUCCCUAAUACCCACAAGGAUAAAUGUUGGGUUCUCUUCUCAGAAGUUCCCAGACAGGUGGGUCUCAAGACUCUCUUUUCUUCUUCUUUCUCUUCUUCUUCUUUUUUUUUUUUUAAAGCAGCAAAUCUUUGCUUCAAAUUAAAUCUUAAAACAGAAAAGUAAAGGAAAGUGAAAGUCGC